rnacentral:rRNA from 1 species
GGAUCCAGACUUUGAUUAUGGCUCAGGAUGAACGCUAGCUACAGGCUUAACACAUGCAAGUCGAGGGGAAACGACAUCGAAAGCUUGCUUUUGAUGGGCGUCGACCGGCGCACGGGUGAGUAACGCGUAUCCAACCUGCCCAUCACUUGGGGAUAACCUUGCGAAAGUAAGACUAAUACCCAAUGAUAUCUCUAGAAGACAUCUGAAAGAGAUUAAAGAUUUAUCGGUGAUGGAUGGGGAUGCGUCUGAUUAGCUUGUUGGCGGGGUAACGGCCCACCAAGGCGACGAUCAGUAGGGGUUCUGAGAGGAAGGUCCCCCACAUUGGAACUGAGACACGGUCCAAACUCCUACGGGAGGCAGCAGUGAGGAAUAUUGGUCAAUGGACGAGAGUCUGAACCAGCCAAGUGGCGUGCAGGAUGACGGCCCUAUGGGUUGUAAACUGCUUUUAUAAGGGAAUAAAGUGAGAGUCGUGACUCUUUUUGCAUGUACCUUAUGAAUAAGGACCGGCUAAUUCCGUGCCAGCAGCCGCGGUAAUACGGAAGGUCCGGGCGUUAUCCGGAUUUAUUGGGUUUAAAGGGAGCGUAGGCCGGAGAUUAAGCGUGUUGUGAAAUGUAGACGCUCAACGUCUGCACUGCAGCGCGAACUGGUUUCCUUGAGUACGCACAAAGUGGGCGGAAUUCGUGGUGUAGCGGUGAAAUGCUUAGAUAUCACGAAGAACUCCGAUUGCGAAGGCAGCUCACUGGAGCGCAACUGACGCUGAAGCUCGAAAGUGCAGGUAUCGAACAGGAUUAGAUACCCUGGUAGUCCGCACGGUAAACGAUGGAUGCCCGCUGUUGGUCUGAAUAGGUCAGCGGCCAAGCGAAAGCAUUAAGCAUCCCACCUGGGGAGUACGCCGGCAAGGGUGAAACUCAAAUGAAUUGACGG